GUGUUUGAAGAAAGUUCCAAAUAAGGAAAAUGGUGUUGUUAGUGCUGAGCCAUUUCUAGCGACAAGGAGUACAGGGCUUCCUCCUAAAUGGGAUAGUCCGGGUGGGACAGUUGUAUUAGUAAACAAACCAAAAGGUUGGACUUCUUUUACUGUUUGUGGAAAGUUGCGUCGCUUAACAAAAGUGAAAAAGGUUGGCCAUGCUGGAACACUUGAUCCUAU
rnacentral:misc_RNA from 1 species